UACAUCUAAUAUAUUAAUUUUUUAAUAUAUAGAACUUUUACAGAUAAAAUAUUUUAAUUUUAUGUAAGUGAUAUGAUGCUGUCCAGUGGUCCUGAAAUGUUACCGUACAUCAUUAUUACCUGGAAAGCUUGUGCAAACACAGGUUGCAGGGCCCUGACCCUGUUUCUGAUUCAUCAGGCCUGGGGUGGAACCUGGCAAUCUAUAUUCUGUCGGGUUCCCAGGUGAUGCUGCUUAUCACACUUUGAGAUGAAUGUGACUAUACUUUGAGAACCACUGUUGUAGUGCUAUUUAUACUGUUGACUUUUUUCACUUACCACUGUGGUUUUAAGGUACCCAAGUUACUAGUAUAGGUGCCUCUAGUUGAUUGUUUUCUGCCUGUUGUAUAGAAUUUCAUAGUAUUUAUCUGUGACACUUUCAUUCUCUGUUCUGCUUGGUGGACACCUAGUUUAACUCCAAUUUCUUUCUAAAAUGAACACUGCUAUGAUGAACACCUUCAUAUAAAUCUACCAUGGUUUAAUGUCUGUAGGGUUUAUGAACAAAAUGGGAUUGCCAGGAGAAAGGGUGAGUGCAUUCAUACUUGAACUGAGCAUUGAUUGCCAAAUGGCUCUUCAGAAUGGCUGUGCAAGUCUCUAUUCCUCCCAGUAGCACUGAAGAAUUCCUAUUUCCUCACAUCCCUCCUUCCAGAAUAUGAUUUUAUCUCAUAUUAUAAUACUUGCCAAUAUAAUGGGUAUAAAGUAGUGUUCUACUGUUUUAAUUAAUGUUUCUCUAAUUACUAAUAAAAUUAAGCAUCUCAUAUGGCAACCAUUCAGCUCUUGCACUCACUCUCAGGAGUUUCUUAUAUGACCUUUCAGAGAUAAGUUAAACAUAUACUAGCAUAUUUGAAAAUCUAAUGAAAAAAUAGUGUACUUGUCACUGUACAUUGCCCUUUAAGUGCUGCUUUAUCUGAGUCCCACAGAUUUGGAUUAUGUAUUGCUUUCAUUAUCAUUCAGUAUUUUAUAUUUUAAGAAUUUUCUUAAUGAAGUAGUAUGUUUUUUCUUUACAGUCAUGUAGGAUUUUUUUAGAGCUAGUAUUUUGUUACUGAUUAUUGACUUAAUGUAAUUUGAAGAACAUGAUUGGAAUAAUAUUCAUUCUUUGAAAUGUAUUGAUACUCCUUGUGGUAUAGUACAGAGUAGAUUUUUGUGAUUGUCCCAUAUAUACUUGGAAAGAAUGUGUAUUCUCUACUUGUUGAGCUAUUCUUUAUAACUUUGACUAUAUUUGUCUGCUUGCACUAUCAGUUACUUUCAGCAUUGUGUCAAAAUUUCCAACCACAAUUACAGUGUCAUGCAUCACUUAAUAAGGAGGGUACAGUCUGAGAAAUGGGUGCCGAUUUUGCUGUUGUGAAAUCUUCAUACAGUGUACCUACAUAAACCUGGAUGGUAUAGCCUGCUACACACCUAGGCUACAUGGUAUAGCCUGUUGCUCGCAGGCUACAGACCUGUACAGCAUGUUAUUGUGCUGAAUACUGUAGGCAGUUGUAACACAAGGGUAAGUAUUGUGUGUCUAAACAUAUCUAGACAUAGAAAAGAUAUAGUAAAAAAAAUAUAAAAAAUGGAAUACCUGUAUAAAGUACUUAUCAUGAAUGAAUUGUACAGGACUGAAAGUUGCUCUGGGUGAAUCAGUGAAUGAUGAGUGAAUGUGAAAUCCUAAGACAUUGCUGUAUACUACCAGAUACUUCAUAAACACUGUACACUUACACUGCUCUAAAUUUAUUAAAAAGUAUUUUUCUUUCUUCAAUAAUAAAUUAGUCUUAGCUUACUGUAACUUUUUACUUUGUAAGAUUUUUAAUUUUGAGCUGCCAUCUUGCGUACCCUGUGUGUGUGCACCUAAUCUCAGCUGGUCCACCUGAGACCCCCUAAGCACCAACCCUAGCCCCCUGCGUGGCCCGUUAUCUGCUGAGAGAAGAUGAAAGAAACAUUUAUGAGCCAGGAAAAACUCGCCAAACUGCAGGCACAAGUGCGCAUUGGUGGAAAAGGAACCACUUGCAGAAAGAAGGUGGUUCGUAGAACAGCCACAGCAGAUGAUAAAAAACUUCAGUUCUCCUUAAAGAAGUUAGGGGUAAACAAUAUCUCUGGUAUUGAAGAGGUGAAUAUGUUUACAAACCAAGGAACAGUGAUCCACUUUAACAACAGAGAUGCCAGCAAACACUUUCACCGUUACAGGCCAUGCUGAGACAAAGCAGCUGAUGGAAAUGCUCCCCAGCAUCUUAAGCCAGCUUGGUGCAGACUGUCUGACUAGUUUAAGGAGACUGGCUGAAGCUCUGCCCAAACAGUCUGUGGAUGGAAAAGCACCACUUGCUACUGUAAAGGAUGAUGAUGAUGAAGUUCCAGAUCUUGUGGAGAAUUUUGAUGAGGCUUCCAAGCAUGAGGCAAACUGAAUUGAGUCAACUUCUGAAGAUAAAACUUGAAGAAGUUACUGGGAGCUGCUAUUUUAUAUUAUGACUGCUUUUUAAGAAAUUUUUGUUUAUGGAUCUGAUAAAAUCUAGAUCUCUAAUAUUUUUAAGCCCAAGCCCCUUGGACACUGCAGCUCUUUUCAGUUUUUGCUUAUGCACAAUUCAUUCUUUGCAGCUAAUUAAGCAGAAGAAGCCUGGGAAUCAAGUUUGAAACGAAGGUUAAUAAAGUUCUUUGCCUAG